GCUAGGAGUGGUGGUGCAUGUCUGUAGUCCCAGCUACUAGGGAGGCUGAGGCAGAAGGAUCCCUUGAGUCCAGAAGUUCUGAGCUGUAGUGCACUAUGCUGACUGGGUGUCUGCACUAAAUUUGGCAUUAAUAUGGUGACCUCCUGGGAGUGGGGGACUACCAGGUUGCCUAAGGAGGAGUAAACCAGAACCAGGUCAGAAACAGAUCAGGUCAAAACUCCUGUGCUGAUUAGUGGUGAUCAUGCCUAUGAAUAGCCACUGUACUUAAGCCUGGGCAACAUAGUGAGAUCCUGCCUCUG
ensembl:misc_RNA Metazoa_SRP Metazoan signal recognition particle RNA